rnacentral:rRNA from 1 species
CCUACGGGAGGCAGCAGUAGGGAAUCUUCGGCAAUGGACGGAAGUCUGACCGAGCAACGCCGCGUGAGUGAAGAAGGUUUUCGGAUCGUAAAGCUCUGUUGUAAGAGAAGAACGAGUGUGAGAGUGGAAAGUUCACACUGUGACGGUAUCUUACCAGAAAGGGACGGCUAACUACGUGCCAGCAGCCGCGGUAAUACGAAGGGGGCUAGCGUUGUUCGGAAUUACUGGGCGUAAGGCGCGCGUAGGCGGUUUUACAAGCCAGAGGUGAAAUGCCUGAGCUUAACUUGGGAAUUGCCUUUGGAACUGUAUGACUUUGAGGACGAGAGAGGUGAGUGGAAUUCCCAGUGUAGAGGUGAAAUUCGUAGAUAUUGGGAAGAACACCGGUGGCGAAGGCGGCUCACUGGCUCGUUUCUGACGCUGCAGCGCGAAAGCGUGGGGAUCAAACAGGAUUAGAUACCCUGGUAGUCCACGCUGUAAACGAUGAGUGCUAGGCGUCGGCACGCUUGCGUGUCGGUGCCGCAGCUAACGCGUGAAGCACUCCGCCUGGGGAGUACGGUCGCAAGACUAAAACUCAAAGGAAUUGACGG